GGCGAAUAUGCCCGUACCCCUUGUCCCGAUUCUGAAGGUCACAACAACCUAGCACUCCUUUUCACUGUAUAUCAACGGCCACGACACCGAAUAUCUCAGCCCCAAAGGAUCCAACGGUUCAAAUCGCACCUCGUAAUAGAGACCAACAGCAUCAACAUUAGGGUUUUCCUUUAUUUUUGUGCGAUACUCUGCAAGGCACUCUACAGAGAAGCCCUUCAUUUCUCUUCUCAUUUUCCUUCCCUUUUUCUCGGGAAAAUCAUGGGGAAAGGCCCUGGUCUCUACUCUGAUAUUGGCAAGAAAGCAAGAGAUCUUCUCUACAAGGAUUACCAGGGCGACCACAAAUUUACUUUCACUACCUACACCUCUACUGGAGUUGCAAUCACUUCAAGUGGAGUUAAGAAAGGUGAAUUGUAUUUGGCAGAUGUAAGCAGUCAGUUGAAGAACAAGAAUAUCACAACUGACGUGAAAGUGGACACAAACUCCAAUCUAUUCACAACCAUCACAGUUGAUCAGCCUGCUCCUGGACUCAAGACAAUCUUUAGCUUCAAAGUUCCUGAUCAGAGAUCUGGCAAGGCAAGCAGCCUCUGAGCCAUUCUUCCUUGUUAAUCAGUUUCACUUGCUAUUAUCUCUUUUACAUGCUGGUUAAUUAGAGGAUUGUAUUAACCUGUUCAUUUAUGAAGUUGGUUGAUUGAUGGGGAAAAAGAGCCUUUUGCCAGAUAUUAUAAAUUGCUAGUCAAUGAUCUGAUCUAUGGUAGUUGCGAUUGAAUGGGGACUUCAUUCAUUUCUUGUUUUCUGAACUUGCUUGCUGCAUUGCCGGACACAUCAUGGUUUCUUGGAUGCCAUUAGUUUCAACUCUAUGUAUGAUCUGACUUGUGAUUAUGUUCACAGGUGGAACUCCAAUACCAGCAUGAGUAUGCUGGGAUAAGCACUAGCAUUGGGUUGACUGCAAAUCCCAUUGUUAACUUCUCAGGUGUGGUUGGGAACAAUGCUGUUGCUCUUGGGACUGAUCUCUCAUUUGACACAGCCACUGGGAACUUCACCAAAUUGAAUGCAGGGUUGAAUUAUACCAAUGCUGAUCUUAUUGCUUCUCUCACAUUGUGAGUUCCUUAUACAAAAAAAAAAAAAAGAAGAUAACUUUCUAGUCAUUCAUAUGAUGUAACAUCACACACUUGGGCACAGUUAGUGAAUCUUUUCACUGACAGAACUGUACUAUUGUGAACUGCUCUGUUCCCUUAAAUACUUCUUAAGUGUAUAGGCAUUUGAAGGUGAUAAGUCUGGAAUAGUUAAUCCUGAACUUAAUUUAGAUUGUCUUGGCUAGAAUAAAAGUUUUAUUUGGACCAUAAAAUUAGUAUCUCGCGCAAAUAUUGAAGUCAAGUGUUUAUGUUGUUUAGUGUUUACAUCUCUUUGGGUCCUGUGGUUUUCAUUAUUGAUCAAAUUUUUCUCGUCCCUCUUCUCAUCUAUUCUCUCAUUUUCUGUUCUUGUGAAAUGACCACAGGAAUGAUAAAGGGGAUACUCUUACUGCUUCCUAUUACCACGCAGUGAGCCCAUUGACUAAUACAGCUGUUGGUGCAGAGCUGACACACAGUUUUUCAAGCAAUGAGAACACAUUGACUAUUGGCACACAGCAUGCACUUGACCCCUUGACCACAGUGAAGGCUCGGGUGAACAACUAUGGCAGAGCAAGCGCUCUCAUCCAGCAUGAGUGGCGCCCCAAGUCUCUUUUCACCAUCUCUGGUGAGGUAGACACAAGGGCAAUUGAAAAGAGUGCUAAGAUUGGAUUGGCCUUGGCUCUCAAGCCCUAGACGAAGCAACUUUUUCUGGGUGAUUGGAACGCUGUCCUUGCCUUUUCUAGCUGUGGGGGGCAAUAAUGCAAGGAAAAAUGACACUUUUUUUCUUGUAUUUUUUUUUUCUUUUUAUAAUCAAAUGACCAUCUGUUUCUGUUGUCUCAUUGGAUUUCACAUAUUUUGGUGGUUAUGGGUUGUAGAAAAUAAUUCUAGUUGGUGUCUGGAUCCAUCUUCAAUUUGUUCUUUUGGAUUAUGCAUCUGCCCCUAAUAGAGGGUAUACAUGCUCGAGCGAUUAUACUGCACAUGGAAUUUUUGUUCCAAUGUGACUGUUGUUUUUCAAUCUCAUUUUUGUUUCAAUAUGAUUGUUGUUUUUCAAUCUCCAGCAUCUCAAUGAGCUGCUAUUUCAUCAUAUUUUGACUUUCAUCCAUGUUGGGAGAAAAAGCUUGGAUCUUGAUCAGAGUUAAUCGCUGUUUCAGCGUUUCAUUCAUUUUGCGCGGUUGUCGCGGUUGGCUAAGGUAAUGGUUUUCGGUUGAAUGCUUUGCACGUUUUUAUUUUUGUAAAUGGCGGCGAUAUGUGUCAGGAAUGCAAUACUUGAGCCAAUUGAAUUUGAUAUUAUUGACAUUGUGAGCUGAAAAUUUUUUUUUUAUGCUUUUUAUUUUUUAGUUUAUGUCAAUUCCAAUAGUG
rnacentral:misc_RNA from 1 species